UACGAAGGGGGGCUAGCGUUGUUCGGAUUUACUGGGCGUAAAGCGCACGUAGGCGGAUUGUUAAGUCGGGGGUGAAAUCCUGGAGCUCAACUCCAGAAUUGCCUUCGAUACUGGCUUUCUAGAGGCUGGAAGAGGUUAGUGGAAUUCCCAGUGUAGAGGUGAAAUUCGUAGAUAUUGGGAAGAACACCAGUGGCGAAGGCGGCUAACUGGUCCAGAUCUGACGCUGAGGUGCGAAAGCGUGGGGAGCAAACAGG
rnacentral:rRNA from 1 species